rnacentral:RNase_P_RNA from 2 species
CGAGUCGAACGGAUGGUCGCGGCGUUGUACCGAAAGGUCUUCGUCGAGGAAAGUCCGGGCUCUUAGGGCAGGAUGCCGGUUAACGGCCGGUGAAGGUGACUUCAAGGAUAGUGCAACAGAAAUAGACAGCCGAGCACACGCUCGGUUAAGGUGGAAAGGUGAGGUAAGAGCUCACCGGCACCAUGGAGACAUGGUGGCCCUGCAAACCCCAUUCGGAGCAACGCCGUGGAGGAACGAGACUGUCGCCCGCAGGUUCCAUGGAGGCGGCUAGAACUUCUCGGCAACGAGAGGUCCAGAUAGAUGACCAUUCAAGACAGAACCCGGCUUAUAGAUCGACUCGGCGC